rnacentral:lncRNA from 1 species
CAGGCACCAAUCAUCUGCCUCCUUCUGUGCCUGCCUGGCUGCCCCUACCCUGGGGCUCCCUCCUAGCCCCCACCUCACCUACUGGCUCACUGAGACAGAGCCAAACAUGAAAGGGAAGGUGACGGCCUGGCCAUAGGGCCCAGGAAAAUGCAGGUAUCAUUAACAGCCUGGAGCACUGUGGCCUGUCCACUCUCAACCCUCUGCUGCCCACCCCUUCCUGGAAUAGACCCCAGGCCACAUACAGAGGGGGCAAGCCCAAGGACUCAACUGGCCCUCCGAACGCUAUCCCACUUUCCAGCCAGGAUUGAAGGAGAUCCCAUCUUGGGUCUAAAGGAAUGGGGGUGAAGACUGCAUCUUGUCGUUCCAGUUCCACCCCAUUCUGGCAUGGGAAGCAUGUGUGGGCUUCUACUCUAUGGGAGAUUCAUAGCCUCAAUCCUUAAGGAAUUCUCAAUCUGAAAGGAAAACACAAACCCUGACCUCAGGGAGCUCCCAGUUUGACAGUGGAGACAGAGAGGCCCUGCAUCAAGUAGAAAAACAACCCCCACUGCUCUCAAGCACACAGCAAUGAAGAUAUGUAUCCUUGGUGCUACAGGCAAAUGCUGACGAUACGACAGUGAAUACAACAUGAAAAAACAAGCACACUUCUCACCCCUAUGGAGCUUUAUUCUGGUCAGGCAGAAGGAGAAGGAAAUGUAAACAUGCAAGGAGCAACUUUUUGGCACUCCCAUUUUGCAGAAGAGGAAACAGCCUGCCUAGGUCUGCUGAUUCCUGUCCUGGAUGUGUCCCCAUCGUUAGGUGAUGCAUGACUCUACUCUGACAUCCUCUCCAGCUUUCAUCUGUUUUUAUUUU